UUUCAUUCAAACAUUCAUGAGUUAUCUAAAUGUAAUGAUUGUACUAUCUUAUAUUGAUUAAAGCGGCAUGUGAUAAUUUAAUUAUUUCUCUUAGGAAAAUGAGAUGGGGUCAUGUAGUUUCCUUUUCGUUGCGAACAAGAAGUGGAGGGCAUAAAAAAGUUGACACCACGGUUUUCGUGAUAAUUCUUUCAUUCUUGAUCCCACAAUAGAAAAAGGAGAGAGAGAACAUAGAGAGCUAUCGCUAGUUUCUUUCUUUUUCUCAUAGAGAGAGAUGGCACGAACUACCUUGGAUUUUUCUUCAACCUUUCAACGACUUCACCCAACACCAAUCAUCAUUAUUCCCUCAUCCUCUCUGACCAAAAACCCUAAUCAUCAUCAUUACACCCCCACCUCUUUCUUUAUCACAAACAUCAUCAUCUUUCACCAUACUUUUCUUGAUCAUGAUCACAAGAGCCACUCAAAACUAACUCAAGAACAACAAGCACACGAAGAAGACUACGAAGACAAAGAAGGAAACCCUAGCUAGCUAGCUUCAACAACUUUUAUAUAUAGAGUGAGAAAAGAGUUUGUUUAGGGUCCUAUAUAGCCUUUGCUACUAAGAUCCAACUAUACUCAUCAACACUCUUGGGGAAUCAAGCGUCUCGGUCCGAACCAUUUAUGUUUUUGUUAUAAUUAAGUAUAUUAUUCCAUUUCUCCAUUGCUACUACUAUUAAGUAUCAUUUGUUUUUAUUUCAUAAUACCAAAUUUUUGUUUGAUUGGCAGAAGGAUAUUAGAAGCUUUCAUGCUUUAGUCACUGUCUUCUUUCUCUCUCUCUCGAUGUGUAGAAGUGUUGUUACUUUUGUUGAUCAGAAGGAAAAAAAGUGUUAUUGUGAUUGAUUUAAAUCUUUUGUGUAGAUCGAAAAGCUUAGCUUCUUUCCAUAGUGUCGGUGUAAAAAUGAAGGUGUUGUUUACAUUUUAAAUAUUAAAUAGUAAUGAUAUUUGAAAGUAGUAAUGAAAUGGUUUUCUUUUUUGAUGAUAAGUAAGAGCAAUCAUAGUUUUGGUGAGGAGAGUAUAUUAACAUGCAUGAUGAUGAUGAUGAUGAUGGACCUACUUUUGCUUUGCUGGGUCUAGCUAGCUAGGGUUUCUCUGGCCCCAUAUAUUACUUUUAUUUUUUGUGUUAUUCUUCUUCUUAGACUAUAAACCCUUUACCAUUGAGUUUCUCAAAUCUCGCUCUCCUUGCUUACAAACUCCAUAUUCAUAUGAAACUUUAUCUAAUCUUAGUUUGAGAAACCGCAUGCUUUGCUUUCUCACGUGAAGAGGAAGGAGUUGAGAAAAUAUCUGUUUUUCACAAGUACAACAAUGAUUUGUCAUAUUGCGUUGGUGGAAUUGUAGUGGAGUUCACUGACAUGACAUGGUGUCUUAGAGAAGACCGUGGGUGACCCUUAUCUUGCUCUAGGACAAGUCUCUAUUCUAUUGCAUCCAACAUUGGUUUGGACGUACACCAUUUGAAUGAGAAAAGUUUGAUGCAUUUGAUAAAAGAUCCUCCUAGAGAAUGUCGUUUUAAAUCCCUAUUUGUUAGCUCAAUUGUUUUAUACCAACACUUCAUACUACAUAGUUUUUAUUGUUUAUGGUACCUUCAUCCUAGUGGAUGUGGUUUUAAAUCCCUAUUUGUAAGCUCAAUUGUUUUAUACCAACACUUCAUAUUCUAUAGUUUUUAUUGUUUAUGGUACCUGUUAAAUGAACAAAAUGUAGAUCGUAAACUAUUCAAGAAGUGGCCGAAUCCGCAUCAAUGUAAGUUAUCAACCAUGUAGUGAAAGAAGAGUAAAGUUGUAGUUCAUCCUGACGGGUGACGGGUAUCCUGAAUAUAAUACAUGAUCUGUCUAAGAUCGUGCAUGUGAUCACUCAUUGUAUAGCGCAUAAAUAAACAUAUUUGUUGUAAUGCGUAAGAAAUGUCUAGCAAUGUGUGAAGAUGAGAUAUUGGAGGCACCAACAAGACUGUGUCGAGAGAUGGAUCUUCAUAUGUCAGGUCAUUGGAAGAGGGAGUACGAAUGAUAUCAUCCACAUACAGUAAGAGAUAAGCCUUUUGUGAAUCUUUUUGGUAGAUGAAGACAGAGUUGUCAUGCUUACUUUGAGAAAAUCCAAUAGAAGAAACAUAGUUUGAGAAUUAUUUAUACCAUGCGAGGAAUUUGUUUGAGCUCAUACAAAGAUUUACACAAAACACAAACAUGAUGAAGACACUAUAGAUCCUUGUAAUCAAAAGGGUUGAUGCAUGUGUAUAGUUUCUUUCAGUUCACCAUACAAAAAGACAUUCUUCACAUCUAACUAAGUUCAAGUGCGCAAGACCAUAGACUUAAACUUCAUGUAAAAUCUAAGUGUUGGUUCUGACUAUGAAUAUUGAAUGAAAAGAUUGAAGAUCAAAUUCCGACA